rnacentral:rRNA from 1 species
AGAGUUUGAUCCUGGCUCAGAACGAACGCUGGCGGCAGGCUUAACACAUGCAAGUCGAACGCCCCGCAAGGGGAGUGGCAGACGGGUGAGUAACGCGUGGGAAUCUACCUAGUUCUACGGAACAACACAGGGAAACUUGUGCUAAUACCGUAUACGCCCUACGGGGGAAAGAUUUAUCGGAAUUAGAUGAGCCCGCGUAAGAUUAGCUAGUUGGUGGGGUAAUGGCCUACCAAGGCGACGAUCUUUAGCUGGUCUGAGAGGAUGAUCAGCCACACUGGGACUGAGACACGGCCCAGACUCCUACGGGAGGCAGCAGUGGGGAAUAUUGGACAAUGGGCGCAAGCCUGAUCCAGCCAUGCCGCGUGAGUGAUGAAGGCCUUAGGGUUGUAAAGCUCUUUCAGUGGGGAAGAUAAUGACGGUACCCACAGAAGAAGCCCCGGCUAACUUCGUG